rnacentral:rRNA from 1 species
CCUACGGGGGGCAGCAGUGAGGAAUAUUGGUCAAUGGGCGCGAGUCUGAACCAGCCAAGUAGCGUGAAGGAUGACUGCCCUACGGGUUGUAAACUUCUUUUAUAAAGGAAUAAAGUGAGGCACGUGUGCCUUUUUGUAUGUACUUUAUGAAUAAGGCUCGGCUAACUCCGUGCCAGCAGCCGCGGUAAUACGGAGGAUCCGAGCGUUAUCCGGAUUUAUUGGGUUUAAAGGGAGCGUAGAUGGGUUGUUAAGUCAGUUGUGAAAGUUUGCGGCUCAACCGUAAAAUUGCAAUUGAUACUGGCAGUCGUGAGUACAGUUGAGGUAGGCGGAAUUCGUGGUGUAGCGGUGAAAUGCUGAGAUAUCACGAAGAACUCCGAUUGCGAAGGCAGCUUACUAAACUGCCACUGACAUUGAUGCUCGAAAGUGUGGGUAUCAAACAGGAUUAGAUACCCCAGUAGUC